rnacentral:tRNA from 1 species
UCCCUUGUGGCUCAGUUGGCAAAGAAUCUGCCUGCAAUGUGGGAGACCUGGGUUCGAUUCCCAGAUUGGGAA